rnacentral:rRNA from 1 species
UAAUACCGGCGCCUCAAGUGGUAGUCGAUUUUAUUGGGCCUAAAACGUCCGUAGCCUGUUUGGUACAUUCGUGGGUAAAUCAACCAGCUCAACUGGUUGAAUUCUGCGAGCACGGCCAGACUUGGGACCGGGAGAGGUGUGGGGUACGCUCAGGGUAGGGGUAAAAUCCUGUCAUCCUGAGCGGACCACCUGUUGCGAAGGCGCCACACUAGAACGGAUCCGACGGUCAGGGACGAAGCCUAGGGGCACGAACCGGAUUAGAUACCCGGGUAGUCCUAGGUGUAAACGCUGUGGACUUGGUGUUGGGGAUUCUCCGAGGAUUCUCAGUGCCGAAGCGAAGGUGAUAAGUCCACUGCCUGGGGAGUACGGUCGCAAGGCUG